AGAGUUUGAUCCUGGCUCAGGAUGAACGCUAGCGGCAGGCUUAACACAUGCAAGUCGAGGGGCAGCGCGGGGCGGCAACGUCCUGGCGGCGACCGGCGGAAGGGUGCGUAACGCGUGAGCGACAUGCCCGUUGCCCGGGGACAACCGGUGGAAACGCCGACUAAUCCCCGAUGGGACGGAGGCCCUCAUGGGUCUCUGUUGAAAGUUACGGCGGCGACGGAUUGGCUCGCGUCCGAUUAGCUAGUUGGCGGGGUAACGGCCCACCAAGGCUACGAUCGGUAGGGGUUCUGAGAGGAAGGUCCCCCACAUUGGAACUGAGACACGGUCCAAACUCCUACGGGAGGCAGCAGUGAGGAAUAUUGGUCAAUGGACGAGAGUCUGAACCAGCCAAGUAGCGUGCAGGAUGACGGCCCUAUGGGUUGUAAACUGCUUUUGCGCGGGGAUAACACCCUCCACGUGCUGGAGGUCUGCAGGUACCGCGCGAAUAAGGACCGGCUAAUUCCGUGCCAGCAGCCGCGGUAAUACGGAAGGUCCGGGCGUUAUCCGGAUUUAUUGGGUUUAAAGGGAGCGUAGGCCGUGAGGUAAGCGUGUUGUGAAAUGUAGGCGCCCAACGUCUGCACUGCAGCGCGAACUGCCCCACUUGAGUGCGCGCAACGCCGGCGGAACUCGUCGUGUAGCGGUGAAAUGCUUAGAUAUGACGAAGAACCCCGAUUGCGAAGGCAGCUGGCGGGAGCGUAACUGACGCUGAAGCUCGAAAGCGCGGGUAUCGAACAGGAUUAGAUACCCUGGUAGUCCGCGCGGUAAACGAUGGAUGCCCGCUGUGGCGCGCCUGGCGUGCCGCGGCUAAGCGAAAGCAUUAAGCAUCCCACCUGGGGAGUACGCCGGCAACGGUGAAACUCAAAGGAAUUGACGGGGGCCCG
rnacentral:rRNA from 1 species